GAUAAUAAGAAAUUGUGGGUUUAUUGAGUUUCCGUAUCUUGGAGACUGGUUAUCAUGGCGGGGUUGGCGUGACAAAAAACCUAUUCGAUGUCGGUUAUAUAAGGCACUUGGCAACGAGGACAGGCAUGAGAUGUUCUCAGAUACUAUUGUGGAAUACCUACCCAUGUUUGGAUCAGAUACUAUUGUGGAAUACCUACCCAUGUUUGGAUCAGAUCAUAAACCAAUAGUAGCGUCCAUUGCGGAGAAGCAGAUU
rnacentral:lncRNA from 1 species